GAUGAACGCUGGCGGCGUGCCUAAUACAUGCAAGUCGAACGCUGAGGCUUGGUGCUUGCACCUAGCGGGUUAGUUGCGGACGGGUGAGUAACGCGUAGGUAACCUGCCUCUUAGCGGGGGAUAACUAUUGGAAACGAUAGCUAAUACCGCAUAAUAUUCUGCAUCGCAUGGUUUUGUCUUGAAAGGUGCUUUUGCUUCACUAAGUGGUGGACCUGCGUUGGCUUAGCUAGGUGGUGAGGUAACGGCUCAACCAAGGGACGAUACAUUGCCGGCCUGGGGGGGGGAUCGGGCAAAAUGGGAAUGAGAAAAGGGCCAGAACUCUAAGGGAGGCAGCAGGAGGGAAUCUUCGGGAAUGGGGGGAAAGCUGGACGAGCAACGCCGGGGGGGGGAAGAAGGGUUUCGGAUCGGAAAGCUCUGUUGUAAGGGAAGAAAGAGUGUGAGAGUGGAAAGUGCACAUCGUGACGGUAACUAACCAGAAAGGGACGGCUAACUACGUG
rnacentral:rRNA from 1 species